UAAGGAAUAUUGGUCAAUGGACGCAAGUUUGAACCAGCCAUGCCGCGUGGAGGAUGAAGGUCCUCUGGAUUGUAAACUUCUUUUAUCUGGGAAGAAAUCCACGAAUUCUUUUGUGGUUGACGGUACCAGAUGAAUAAGCACCGGCUAACUCCGUG
rnacentral:rRNA from 1 species